UGGUCUUAAAACUUGAACCUUUUAUUUGUUUUAUCUGCAUUCCUUCUUCAGGAAGCAAUCAUCAGGCCUCUCAAAAAACUAUCAGGCCAGGGACGGUGGCUCAUGCCUGUAAUCCCAGCACUUUGGGAGGCCGAGGUGGGCGGAUCACGAGGUCAGGAAUUCGAGACCAGCCUGACCAACGUGGUGAAACCCCAUCUCUACUAAAAAUACAAAAAUUAACUGGGCGUGGUGGUGUGCGCCUGUAAUCCCAGCUACUCAGGAGGUUGAGGCAGGAGAAUUGCUUGAACCCAGGAGGUGGAGGUUGCAGGAGCCAAGAUCACGCCACUGCACUCCAGCCUGAGCAAUAGAGCAAGACUCCAUCUCAAAAAACAAAAAACAAAAAAACUAUCAAAGAACUGAAAUUCAGCCAGGCGCAGUAGCUCAUAUCUGUAAUCCUAGCACUUUGGGAGGCUGAGGCAGGAGGAUCACUUGAGGUCAGGAAUUUGAAACCAGCCUGGCCUACACGGUGAAACCCUGUCUCUACUAAAAAUACAAAAAAAUGGCCAGGCGCGGCGGCUCACGCCUGUAAUCCCAGUAUGUCCGGAACUGUGCCUUCCAGUGGGUUCUUGGUCUUGCUGACUUCAAGAAUGAAGCUGCGGACCCUCGCGGUGAGUGUUACAGUUCUUAAAGAUGGUGUGUCCGGAGUUUGUUCCUUCAGAUGUUCAGACUUGUCCAGAGUUUCUUCCUCCCAGUGGGUUUAUGGUUUGUCUCCCUGACUUCAGGAGUGAAGCUGCCAACCUUCGCAGGGAGUGUUACAGCUCUCAAAGGUGAGUGUUACAGCUCUCAAACGUGGCGCACGUCCAGAGUUGUUCAUUCCUCCCAGCGGGUUCGUGGUCUCGCUGGCUUCAGAGGUGAAGCUGCAGACCUUCCUGGUGACUGUUACAGCUCAUAAAGGUAGUAUGGACCCUAAGAGUGAGCAGCAGCAAGAUUUAUUGCAAACAGCAAAAGAACAAAGCUCCCACAAUAGGGAAGGGGACCCUGGCGGGUUUCCGCUGCUCCCUCGGUGGCCUGCUUUUAUUCCCUUUUCGGCCCCACCCACAUCCUGCUGAUUGGUCCAUUUUAUAGAGUGCGUUUAAAAUCCUUUAGUUAGACACAGAGUGCUGAUUGGUGCAUUUACAAUCCUUUAGUUAGACACAAGAGUUCUCCAAGUCCCCACCUGAUUAGCUAGACACAGAGCACUGACUGGUGCAGCCUUUACAAACCUAGACACAGAGUGCUGAUUGGUGCAUUUACAAUCCUUCAGCUGGACAGAAAAGUUCUCCAAGUCCCCUACCCCAUUAGCCAGACACAGAGCACUGAUUGGUGCAUUUACAAACCUUUAGCUAGACACAGAGCGCUGACUGGCGCAUUUACAAUCCUUUAGCUAGACAGAAAAUUCUCCAAGUCCCCAAAUGACCCAGAAGCCCAGCCGGCUUCACCUUUCACCAGCACUUUGGGAGGCCAAGGCGGGCAGAUCACAAGGUCAAGAGUUCAAGACCAGCCUGGCCAAGAUGGUGAAACCCCGUCUCUACUAAAAAUACCAAAAAAUUAGCUGGGCGUGGUGGUGGGCGCCUGUAAUCCCAGCUACCCAGGAGGCUGAGAAGGAGAAUUGCUUGAACCCAGGAGGCAAAAGUUGCAGAGAGCCAAGAUGGCGCCACUGCACUCCAGCCUGGGCGACAAAGCAAGACUCUGUCUCAAAAAAAUAAAAUAAAAUAAAUAAAAAUACAAAAAAAACAGGCAUGGUGGUUUGUGCCUGUAAUCCCUGCUACUCGGGAGGCUGAGGCAGGAGAACCGCUUGAACCCAGGAGGCAGCGGUUACAGUGAACUGUGAACUGAGAUGGCACCACUGCACUCCAGCCUGGGUGACAGAGCAAGACUCUGUCUC
rnacentral:lncRNA from 1 species